GACGAACGCUGGCGGCGUGCCUAAUACAUGCAAGUCGAGCGGAUCAUCCCUUCGGGGAUGGUUAGCGGCGGACGGGUGAGUAACACGUAGGCAACCUGCCUGUAAGACCGGGAUAACUACCGGAAACGGUAGCUAAGACCGGAUAAUUGGUUCCUCCGCAUGGGGGGAUGAUGAAACGCGGCUUUCGGGCUGCGGCUUACGGAUGGGGCAGCGGCGCAUUAGCGAGUUGGUGGGGUAACGGCCUACCAAGGCGACGAUGCGUAGCCGACCUGAGAGGGUGAACGGCCACACUGGGACUGAGACACGGCCCAGACUCCUACGGGAGGCAGCAGUAGGGAAUCUUCCGCAAUGGACGCAAGUCUGACGGAGCAACGCCGCGUGAGUGAGGAAGGUCUUCGGAUCGUAAAGCUCUGUUGCCCUAGAAGAAAGUCUUCGGGAGUCACUGCCCGGAGGUUGACGGUAUAGGAGAAGAAAGCCCCGGCUAACUACGUGCCAGCCGCCGCCGUAAUAC
rnacentral:rRNA from 1 species